rnacentral:lncRNA from 1 species
UUAAGGCCAUUAUAUUUUCAUCUGUUAUAUCAUUUCAUAGUACAUUUGUACUAAGCACUUUGUGUCCAACAUUAUGCAUUUCAACAAUAUGCUAUAAAAUAUGAAAAAAUUCAAACAACUGGUACUAGUGUUGUUAAAUACCCUGUGAAAGUUUUGGUUAACCUCCAAUUAAGAUCAAUAUUAAAUUUUCCUGAUCUAUUAAAGACAUACUAAUACUACUACAGUAUGGAGUAUAAACAUCCAUUUUUUCAAUCUCAUUUUUCUCCUCCUCUGUAUCAUUCUAGCAAUCAUUAACGUAUGUCCAUAACACAAGCACUGCGUGAAUGUAAUAUUUCCCAGAGUCUUCACUUCCUGAGCGUAGGAGGAACUUUU